UACGGAGGGUGCGAGCGUUGUCCGGAAUCACUUGGCGUAAAGGGCGCGUAGGCGGCGCGGGUAGUCAUCGGUGAAAGUUCAGGGCUCAACUCUGAAUCGGCCGGUGAUACUCCCGUGCUCGAGCACUGUAGAGGCAGGUGGAAUUCCGGGUGUAGCGGUGGAAUGCGUAGAGAUCCGGAAGAACACCGGUGGCGAAGGCGGCCUGCUGGGCAGUAGCUGACGCUGAUGCGCGACAGCGUGGGGAGCAAACAGG
rnacentral:rRNA from 1 species